GAGAGCCAAGAGAUCCGUUGUUGAAAGUUGUAUAUAGUUUUAGAGGACAUAAGUCCAGUAAACAAGACAUUCAUGACAUACAAAGAGUAUAUGAAUUCAUAAGCCUGGAAAGUCAAAAGGAGCUUUAAAAAAGCAACCUUUCAAACCACAAAGUAAACUUCAUGAUAAUUUUCCAGACUUACAGAAGUGCACAGGUGGAUGAAUAUUCACAACAACAAGUGUGCACAUGUCUUGUUAAAGACCAGCAACAA
rnacentral:misc_RNA from 1 species